rnacentral:lncRNA from 1 species
ACAAGCGAAUCGGAAACCGAAUCACCGAGCGAAACGCCGAGAGCGGACUCAAUUGCGCGUAGGAAAUCGGAAUUCGAAGACAUCGCAGGUGAAUCGAGUGAAGACGGUGAUAGAAGUUGUGGUGAGGUGGAUUUGAACAGUGUCCCUCUCUCUCUCUCUCUAGCUUGUGGAGUAGAAGGUUCUGGUGAGUUUAGAGGGAGAGAGAGAAAGAAAGGGUGUGAGAAGGAAAAUGAAGCACCAAAAGUGGAGAAAUUAAAUACAUCAGACACUUAAGCCAAAGCUCUAAUUUAAGUUCCUAUAGAAUGAUACAAAAUGCCAUCUAGAACUCUCGCAACAAGAAAUCGAAAUUUUUAAUGUGGCCCACAAAUCAACAGCCAAAAUGGAGGAAUUGCAAAAAAUUUAAUCCAAGUUCAACACAUAAUUAACUGGUACAUGGUGCACGGUACCGGUACUCAAUACACAGUUCUAUGUGGUUCGUCAUUUUUUACAUUACCAUUACAUACUCUCUUUAUGAUGAAUCCAAUACACUAUACAACAGAUUCAGUAUGCAGUGUGUAGGCCAAAUUAGAGAAUCAUGUUCAUGUAACUAUAGUCCAACAUACCAGGUCAACAACUUUGACAGCUGCUUUUUCAUACCUUGCCUUUACCUCCUCUGCUAAAGCCUGUAAUAAAAAUAAUUAAAAGAAAAAUGUGUAGUAAUUAAAUAUCACUAGCACAUCACUGCUGUAGAUUUGAAGAUAGAAAGAUGUAAGGAAAAUCCAAAAAAGAAGAGAGAAAAUUAGCUUCAUCCAAAAUUCCAAACAUAAAGUAAAUUUGGAUAAGCUGCAAUGGUUUUCUAGCUAAAAUUAGAAUAUGUGCAAUUAACCAUAGUAUGUUAUAGUGGGAACUGGGGAAGGUAGUCAAAGGGUAAAAAGGCGUCUUAAGGCAUUUGGAGGUUUAAAUGCCUUGAGGUGAGAGUCACAAAAGUGCACUAUUCACUGAAGAAAGGUGUUAACAUUAAGAAAGCAUUGAAGUAUUUUACAAUUGAGUUAAUAUCCCACAUUAACUAACUACUUUCAAAAAACUUGGUAAAAACAAAAUAUUAAAAUUGUCAAUCUUUAAAACCCUAAACUACCAAGUGUGCUGCUAAGAAACCCAAAGACUGACAUAUUUUUAACAUUUUGACUAUUUUACCCUAUUUAGUAUCACAGUUAGCAUGUUUGAUGGCUUAGCCCCUUGGGUGGUAUUUUGGUAACAAUAAAAUUAUUAGAAAGGCACACUCGUUGAAAGGACAGUGCCUCAACCAGCAAGAUGCACUAUUGAAAUCAGCACUUUACGCAUGCCUUUCGAAGUCUUUGUUUGGUUACAAUGACUCAGUUUCAAAUUGGCACCGACACCAUCCUAGCUCCUUGGCAUUUCCAAAGGGCCCUAAUCUAAUAUGAUAAUGAAAAGAAGAAACAAAAACAUAACGUUGCACAACAUUAUAGAGCUGUCGCGAUGUAAUUCGCUUCACCAUAUCCAGGGAUAAGAACUCGGACCAUAAGACAAAACUACGAAUGUACACACUGCAGGACACAUAUAACUUCUUCUGUUAGCAACUUCUAUUUCAUAGUCGUGUAUUACUAUAUGGAAGGGUUUUAAAUUAUGAUCCCCAAUCGCAACUGAAGUAGUAAUAUCUGGCUAUCUGUAACUGCAUGGCAACCACAAUUCCAGCCACAUUGACUGCAUUUCACCACAAGUGUGAUAAUGGAACAUUAAUGCUAUUGUGGCCGCAAGUUAAAACCUCGCAAUAAGGUGAAAAUUUUACACGUGCAGAAAGUAAUAUUCUCAAUAUCAAAGCUCAUACAGGAACAACAAACUAUGAGGUAUAAUCACGGUGACGAAAAACAUCGUUCAUAUAAACUCAGGAAGAAAUUUAACAAUAAAAAAUAAAAAGAAGCAGAUUCCAGAACAUUCGAUUUGAUAAUACCUAGAAAAUUCUAUGCUCCAACACACAUUUUCUAUUACAACUAUCUGAAAACAAGAAUCACCAAACCACGAAAAAUGAAUAUACCUUAGCAAAUCCCUCAGCAGUACCAGUUUGAGUACCAAAGAAAACGGUGACCUUAGUCUUCCCAUCACUAAAAUCAACAUCAUCAUCUUCAUCCUUCACGAACGUCUUCGGCACUAUCACCGGCUUCAACUCCUUGCUCCGAUCCAACGAUUUCUUCCACAGCAGCACCAAAAGUCCGAUUAUAACCGCUACAGAUGUAGUGACUAUCAGAACAAGCGAAUCGGAAACCGAAUCACCGAGCGAAACGCCGAGAGCGGACUCAAUUGCGCGUAGGAAAUCGGAAUUCGAAGACAUCGCAGGUGAAUCGAGUGAAGACGGUGAUAGAAGUUGUGGUGAGGUGGAUUUGAACAGUGUCCCUCUCUCUCUCUCUCUAGCUUGUGGAGUAGAAGGUUCUGGUGAGUUUAGAGGGAGAGAGAGAAAGAAAGGGUGUGAGAAGGAAAAUGAAGCACCAAAAGUGGAGAAGAUUUAUUAAACCACAAAAGUUCUAAUACUUUCUCUUUUAUAUGAUUUGAGGUCUUUUACGAUUCACCUUCG